rnacentral:rRNA from 1 species
UACGAAGGGGGCGAGCGUUGUUCGGAUUUACUGGGCGUAAAGGGCGCGCAGGCGGUCAUUUUUUGUCGAGUGUGAAAGCCCCCGGGCUUAACCUGGGAACUGCGCUCGAAACGGGAUGACUAGAGAUCGGGAGAGGAGAGUGGAAUUCCCAGUGUAGAGGUGAAAUUCGUAGAUAUUGGGAAGAACUCCGGUGGCGAAGGCGAGGCGCUGGACCCUUUCUGACGCUGAGGCGCGAAAGCCAGGGGGAGCAAACGGG